GACGUAGGGCGCGAGCGUUGUCCGGAUUUAUUGGGCGUAAAGAGCUCGUAGGCGGCUUGUCGCGUCGUCCGUGAAAACUUGGGGCUCAACCCCAAGCUUGCGGUCGAUACGGGCAGGCUAGAGUUCGGUAGGGGAGACUGGAAUUCCUGGUGUAGCGGUGAAAUGCGCAGAUAUCAGGAGGAAUACCGGUGGCGAAGGCGGCAUCCUGGACCGACAUUGACGCUGAGGAGCGAAAGCCAGGGGAGCAAACGGG
rnacentral:rRNA from 1 species